AAAAAAUAUUUGCUGCCGGCACUGUAAGAUCAAACAGGUGUGAAAAGUGCCCUUUGAAGACUGAAAAGGAAUUGAAGAAAAGUGGCCGCGGUUCUUCAGAGUGCGUUGUGAGUGCUGAUGGAAAUAUAGCCAUAACAAGGUGGAUGGACAAUAUGAUUGUGACCCUUGCAUCCAAUUUUAUUGCUAUCGAAGAGGAAGAUGGUGUUCGUCGUUGGAACAAAGCGGAAAAGGGUUUUGUCGAUGUGAAGCGACCAGCAGUCAUUAACGCAUACAACCCCGCAGCAUGGCUGGGGUCGAUAAUGUAGACUUCUUGAUUUCUCUUUAUCGGACUACCAUUCGCUCACGGAAGUGGACCUUGAGAAUGACGUUUCAUUUUAUGAACCUCGCAGUGGUGAACGCUUGGCUUGAGUAUAGGCGUGACGCAGACAAACAGAGCCUCCGUAAACAGCUUGAUCUCCUUGACUUCACUCUAAGAGGGAAGGCCUUCACUCUCACCAUUGCAGGCUUCGAAUCACCCAAGAAUGGCAGAAAACAGACCUGUCCAGGAUGUAAGGUUUGACCAGCUCGUACAUAUCCCACUUCAUGACGACACGAGAGAAAGAAGGUGCAAGAUGGAACGCUACACAGGAAGAACCCGGAUCAUGUGCGACAAAUGCAAGGUUCACUUGUGCCUAACAAAGUCGCGAAAUUGCUUCAGGGCUUUCCAUAUGCGUGUAUAAGAUAUCUCUUUGAUUACUUUGACCAUUUUGAAUUGCCCUAUGUCCUUUUGAAUAAAGCUGCUACAUCUUUCACUUUGUAA